AUGUCCUCUGCUGAUCACAAAGAUGGCUGGAUCCGGUCGAGCUUGUGGUCGUUUGUAGACAAAACAUCAGUCUUUCCAUUGGUAUUAAGUGUUAGCUUAUUCACGCUCAUUACGAGAAACGGCGGCGCAAAUACAUGAUUCCGGCACCGGCAGUGAUCCAGAAGUGGGCAAGUGACUGUAGCGUAAUCGGGACCUGGAUAAAGUACAUGUCCCCGUUAGGGUUCGGGCAGGAUGGCUGUUCUAUGAUCCAAGUGGACUUGAAGAUAUUUCCACAAACAAGCGGAAUAUUGUUUUUCACAGUUGUCUUGACAACCAGCUUCUGAUGAGCACAAAUCUGCGUUGACCCUAAGAUGAACCCUGGCAGCUGCACCUGGCCAGAUCCGUCCGCUACGAACGCAGGCGUGUUUCCAGACGUGGAUCCAUUUCAGGUUUGUUUGUUUCUGUUUGUGCGGUCGACUCGCGGCGUGAUUCUCGUAACUGAAGCUCUGAAGUUGAGAGAAAAGAUGCAGCAAGUAUCAAAGUGUCGCUCCACAUAUCUGACGACAUUAUUCUUAAUCACCGAGACACAUUCUCCCUAAACGAACCCUUCCAGCUUGGAGCCACAGGAAAACCACAUCCUGCUGUUUCUCAACAAACUGACAUGCAGCGAGGCGCGUUAAAAAAAAAAAUCAUGUGUGAUGUGAUUCCUGAAAGCAGACGUAUCGUCAACUGGCGAGCAGAGCAGAGGAACACAGAGCGCCAAUGUGACGAGGACAGAAGAAGAAAGAAGACUAUGACCUUGCAGAGGCUGCUGGGUAAUAUCUGCUGCUUUACGACCAAGGAAAAUGUGAAACCAUGACGACGGACUUUGAG